AGAAUCAACGCUGGCGGCGUGCCUAACACAUGCAAGUCGAACGCGAAAGUCCCGCAAGGGGCAAGUAGAGUGGCAAACGGGUGAGUAACGCGUGGGUGACCUACCUUAGAGUGGGGGGAUAACCUUCCGAAAGGAGGGCUAAUACCGCAUGACAUCCUAUGUUUAGAGACAUGGUGAUCAAAGCCGGGGAUCGCAAGACCUGGCGCUUGAAGAGGGGCCCGCGUCCGAUUAGCUAGUUGGUGGGGUAACGCUCACCAAGGCUCCGAUCGGUA
rnacentral:rRNA from 1 species